AGAGUUUGAUCCUGGCUCAGAGCGAACGCUGGCGGCAGGCCUAACACAUGCAAGUCGAGCGCCCCGCAGGGGAGCGGCAGACGGGAGAGUAACACGUGGGAACGUACCCUUCAGUUCGGAACAACCCAGGGAAACUUGGGCUAAUACCGGAUACGUCCGUAAGGAGAAAGAUUUAUCGCUGAAGGAUCGGCCCGCGUCUGAUUAGCUAGUUGGUGGGGUAAUGGCUCACCAAGGCUACGAUCAGUAGCUGGUCUGAGAGGAUGAUCAGCCUCACUGGGACUGAGAUACGGCCCAGACUCCUACGGGAGGCAGCAGUGGGGAAUAUUGGACAAUGGGCGCAAGCCUGAUCCAGCCAUGCCGCGUGGAUGAUGAAGGCCCUAGGGUUGUAAAGUCCUUUCGGCGGGGAAGAUAAUGACGGUACCCGCAGAAGAAGCCCCGGCUAACUUCGUGCCAGCAGCCGCGGUAAUACGAAGGGGGCUAGCGUUGCUCGGAAUCACUGGGCGUAAAGCGCACGUAGGCGGCUUUUUAAGUCGGGGGUGAAAUCCUGGAGCUCAACUCCAGAACUGCCUUCGAUACUGAGAAGCUUGAGUCCGGGAGAGGUGAGUGGAACUGCGAGUGUAGAGGUGAAAUUCGUAGAUAUUCGCAAGAACACCAGUGGCGAAGGCGGCUCACUGGCCCGGUACUGACGCUGAGGUGCGAAAGCGUGGGGAGCAAACAGGAUUAGAUACCCUAGUAGUCC
rnacentral:rRNA from 1 species